UUGGCAUUUAGCAAUCAUUGGAAUGUGUUCAAAUUCAGGGAUUCAUAUGCAUGAGCCACGAGACUAUGUGUAUUUAUAAUCUAUUCUACACACUUCUCUUUCUCAAUCUGCUUCGCCAUUACUAGCUACUACUACGGAGUACUCAAUACAAUUUUCAAGAAUUUGUAUCUUCCUGAAUUUCAAUAGCCACAUUAUUUCCAAGAAUUUUAUCUUGCUGAAUUAUCAAUUGGUUUGCGUGAAGGUGAAUGAUUGAGGAAUUACUGUAGAUUUACUGCAAGGCUACAGAACUGGAAUUUAUCAGGCCAAAUGAUUAUAGAUGAUUACAUGGAGAUGAGAUCUGACAUUUCACAUAACUGCAAUGCUACAACCAUAUUAAAUGAAUUUUCUGGUUACUCUGGUCACUAGUAGAUAGCAGCAGAAAGAAGCUCUCAGCUUGCUUUAAAAAAACAAAAAAGCUGAAUAUUCUGUCACAAGGUUAUAUUUGUGAUUCAGGCUUCUGUAUAGGGCAUUGCAGAAGUAAUUGGAAAACAAAUAUUGAUUGCUACGAGAACCUGAGAACCGAGGCAACAGACCUUUCAGAGCAUAAACUUUUGAUGAAUUGUCAAGCUUUCUUGGCCAGAUUUAGGGCUGUGAAAGAGUGAUUAUACACUGUAAAAUCAUUGCAGUUUGUACCUCUAUGUUAGUUGCCAACCCUUUAAUUGUACCAUGAUCUAGUCAUAUUUAUUGUCUACCAAAUGUUGUGUUUGCUGUUGUAAUGUUUUUAACCAUAUGCCAAGAACUUAAGGUUUGUUUACAUUUUUUAUUUUAUUUUAAUUUUAAUUUUUUUAUUUUUUUUAAUAAAAUAAAUUAAUCUGCUACCUACUGCAAUAAAUUAGUGCAAUAAAUGAGAAAGAUGGCUAAUUGAAUUGUGAAAAUGAGUGUACAAUAUCCCUUCUCAUAUCUAACUCCAAUCAACAACAAUAAUUUCAUAAAUAAUCCCCCAACCAAAAACCACAUUUUGUGAAACAUUUAAAGCUCUUCAAUUUUUUUAAGAAAACAUAGAAACGUACUAAUAAAAGUUUCAUUUGUUCA